AUGCUUGAAUUUUCAUGGAUCCAUAUAUCAUUUUGGCCAGGAUGCAUGUUCUGUUGCACAGCCAAUGUAUUUAGCUGGCUAGAAUAG
rnacentral:rRNA from 1 species